UCUUGCACACUUUGGAUUCUUCCUCUCCAACACAGUUUGGGCGAGCCUGUUCUUCUCUUGAUAACUGGAGGGAGCACAUUAGUUCAAAGAACCCCAGAGUUGAGAGCUGUCGUUCAAUCUUAGACAAUCUGGUAGCUUCUUUGGAUUUGCCCAAGGUUAAGAACUCAGCCAAAGGGAAGGUUUUGAUGCGCGCAAUGUAUGGGGUUAAGGUGUUGACUGUAUUUGUUUGUAGUAUUUUUGCUGCAGCCUUCUCUGGAUCAGCCAAGAAUUUGUUAGAACUGAACGUUUCUGACACAUUACCUUGGGCACCAGCAUUUUCUGCCUUGCAAGCUAAUGUGAAUGCAGAAGUUAGGAACAUAUUAUCCUCUGGAAGAGCUACAGUUUUGAACGAACUAGAGGCUGUUGAUGGGAGCGUUAAGAAAUUGUAUGAGGUGAUUCA
rnacentral:lncRNA from 1 species